CAGCAGCUGCGGUAAUACGGAGGGUGCAAGCAUUGAUCGGAAUUACUGGGCGUAAAGGGCGCGUAGGCGGCAAGAUAAGUCAGAUGUGAAAUUCCACGGCUCAACCGUGGAGCUGCAUUUGAAACUGUCUAGCUUGAGCAUAAUUAGGGAAAACGGAAUUCCACAUGUAGCGGUGAAAUGCGUAGAUAUGUGGAGGAACACCGGUGGUGAAGACGGUUUUCUGGGUUAUUGCUGACGCUGAGGCGCGAAAGCUAGGGGAGCAAACAGGAUUAGAUACCCUGGUAGUCCUAGCCGUAAACGAUGCAUACUGGAUGUAGGAAGGCUCAACCCUUUCUGUAUCGGAGCUAACGCGUUAAGUAUGCCGCCUGGGGAGUACGCCCGCAAGGGUGAAACUCAAAAGAAUUGACGGGGGCCCGCACAAGCAGUGGUGCAUGUGGUUUAAUUCGAUGCAACGCGAAGAACCUUACCCAGGCUAGAAGUGUAGAGAAAAACAGCAGAAAUGUUGCGUUUCGAAAGGAGCUCUAUAUAGGUGCUGCAUGGCUGUCGUCAGCUCGUGCCGUGAGGUGUUGGGUUAAGUCCCGCAACGAGCGCAACCCUUAUUGUCAGUUGCCAACACGUAAUGGUGGGGACUCUGGCAAGACUGCCCAGGUUAACUGGGAGGAAGGUGAGGAUGACGUCAAGUCCGCAUGGCCUUUAUGUCUGGGGCUACACACGUGCUACAAUGGUCGGUACAGAGGGCAGCGAAGCCGCGAGGCGGAGCAAAUCCAGAAAACCGAUCUCAGUUCAGAUUGUAGUCUGCAACUCGACUACAUGAAGUUGGAAUUGCUAGUAAUGGCGUGUCAGCAAUAGCGCCGUGAAUACGUUCCCGGGCCUUGUACACACCGCCCGUCACAUCAUGGGAGUUGGUUUUACCGCAAGUCACUGACUCAACCGCAAGGGGGAGAGGUGCAAGCAUACAACGAUGACCAGGAUGAAGUCGUAACAAGGUAGCCGUA
rnacentral:rRNA from 1 species